GUUUUGAUGCCUAAGUGGUUAGAGCUUAGGCCUUGUGACCGGAAGGUCCCGGGUUUGAAUCUCGCUGGCGGGAUU
rnacentral:tRNA from 1 species